rnacentral:rRNA from 1 species
UACGGUGGGAGCAAGCGUUGUUCGGAUUUACUGGGCGUAAAGGGCGCGUAGGCGGCCACCGCAAGUCGGUUGUGAAAUCUCCGGGCUUAACCCGGAAAGGUCAAUCGAUACUGCGGGGCUAGAGUGCAGAAGGGGCAACUGGAAUUCUCGGUGUAGCGGUGAAAUGCGUAGAUAUCGAGAGGAACACCUGCGGCGAAGGCGGGUUGCUGGGCUGACACUGACGCUGAAGCGCGAAAGCUAGGGGAGCGAACGGG